GAUGACUCACAAUAUUCCACCCUUUUUGCAUUCACAGACCUGCCAGCUGAUUCAUAACUGCAUUCUGCCUUGCUUCUCCUCCCUGUCAAGAUGAUCCAUCAAACAGUGUCCAUCAAUUAAAAUUUCCACUCAAAAGAGGAAGGUGUGUGAGGGAGCACCCAUCCCUUUCUUCACUCAUACCUGGGCACCUAGAACUCAGGAUAGAAGUCUUUUAAGAAAAAAAAAAAAAGAAGUAUUAGGCUGGAGGAACCCCAGAAGAUCACCUAGAACAUUUUCAUUGAUCCUGCCCAGCAGAAUGACUUGUUGGGGCUGACAACGUGCAUACAUAGAAACCUCUUUUCUUAUCCACCUAAAGAAGAAGGCUAUGAAUGAAAAGCAGUGAAUACAAUUUUAUAUUCACUUUAAGCACAUGUGUGAAUAGAAGAGGGGGAAACCAGCCAUCUUCCAAGGGAUAAUUCACUUAUCUGCAAACAUGAGAGUCCACAAAAGUGCUGACAGGCACAGAACAGAGUGGAGCAGCAUGAGCUCAUUUCAAGCCAGGCAUUUCCCUUUGGUGAGUGCAUAGCUCACAACGGUAGGUGCAAUUUGAGUUGGGCACAGCCCUCUAAGCAAUACCACACAGAACAAGAUCCUAAUCUCUGCACUUUAAGGGCCUGAUCCUGCAGCUGUUUGGGUGGGGAACAGAAUUCCCC
rnacentral:lncRNA from 1 species